rnacentral:tmRNA from 1 species
GGGGGCGAUCGGCUUCGACGGGUGGUCGAAGGUGAGCGCUGCGUGUCGACGUUGUACCACCGUCGUUAAAGAAGGUUCAAUAUUGGUAUUUUCAAAUGCCGAUGAUAACUACGCUCUCGCUGCCUAGCUGAAACUAGGUUAGCGGGCUCUCGUCCGUGACGUCUCCUAGCGGGUCGCGAGAGUCAUCAGGAGACUGGCUUCCGAGCGCUGCUAGACCGUAUCCGGAAGCGAGACCCAUGUGUAGCUAGGUUGCACUUGCUCCGUCUUUGCGGCCGGUGCAACCGAAACUAAGCAGAGACUACACACGUAGACGCGCCCAUUGGACGCCAUGCGGACGCGGGUUCGAUUCCCGCCGCCUCCACCA